rnacentral:rRNA from 1 species
ACGGAAGGCAGCAGUGGGGGAUAUUGCACAAUGGAGGAAACUCUGAUGCAGCAACGCCGCGUGAGGGAAGAAGGCUUUCGGAUUGUAAACCUCUGUUUUCAGUGAAGAAACAAAUGACGGUAGCUAAAGAGGAAGCCACGGCUAACUACGUGCCAGCAGCCGCGGUAAUACGUAGGUGGCAAGCGUUGUCCGGAUUUACUGGGUGUAAAGGGUGCGCAAGCGGGACUGCAAGUUGGAUGUGAAAAUCCGGGGCUCAACCUCGGAACUGCAUCGGAAACUGUGGUUCUUGAGUGGAGCAGAGGUAAGCGGAAUUCCGAGUGUAGUGGUGAAAUGCGUAGAUAUUCGGAGGAACACCAGUGGCGAAGGCGGCUUACUGGGCUCUAACUGACGCUGAGGCACGAAAGUGUGGGUAGCAAACAGGAUUAGAUACCCUGGUA